GGGUUGUGAGGUUAAGUGACUAAGCGUACACGGUGGAUGCCUAGGCAGUCAGAGGCGAUGAAGGACGUGCUAAUCUGCGAUAAGCGUCGGUGAGCUGAUAUGAAGCAUUAUUAGCCGGCGAUGUCCGAAUGGGGAAACCCAGUGCAAUCCGUUGCACUAUCGUUAAGUGAAUACAUAGCUUAACGAGGCGAACCAGGGGAACUGAAACAUCUAAGUACCCUGAGGAAAAGAAAUCAACCGAGAUUCCCCUAGUAGCGGCGAGCGAACGGGGAAGAGCCCAGAACCUGAAUCAGUUUGUGCAUUAGUGGAAGCGUCUGGAAAGUCGCGCGAUACAGGGUGAUAGCCCCGUACACGAAGGUGCACAGCUGUGAGUUCGAUGAGUAGGGCGGGACACGUGUUAUCCUGUCUGAAUAUGGGGGGACCAUCCUCCAAGGCUAAAUACUCCUGACUGACCGAUAGUGAACCAGUACCGUGAGGGAAAGGCGAAAAGAACCCCGGCGAGGGGAGUGAAAUAGAACCUGAAACCGUGUACGUACAAGCAGUGGGAGCAUCCUUCGGGGUGUGACUGCGUACCUUUUGUAUAAUGGGUCAGCGACUUAUAUUUUGUAGCAAGGUUAACCGAAUAGGGGAGCCGUAGGGAAACCGAGUCUUAACUGGGCGUCUAGUUGCAAGGUAUAGACCCGAAACCCGGUGAUCUAGCCAUGGGCAGGUUGAAGGUUGGGUAACACUAACUGGAGGACCGAACCGACUAAUGUUGAAAAAUUAGCGGAUGACUUGUGGCUGGGGGUGAAAGGCCAAUCAAACCGGGAGAUAGCUGGUUCUCCCCGAAAGCUAUUUAGGUAGCGCCUCGUGAACUCAUCUUCGGGGGUAGAGCACUGUUUCGGCUAGGGGGUCAUCCCGACUUACCAACCCGAUGCAAACUACGAAUACCGAAGAAUGUUAUCACGGGAGACACACGGCGGGUGCUAACGUCCGUCGUGAAGAGGGAAACAACCCAGACCGCCAGCUAAGGUCCCAAAGUCAUGGUUAAGUGGGAAACGAUGUGGGAAGGCAUAGACAGCCAGGAUGUUGGCUUAGAAGCAGCCAUCAUUUAAAGAAAGCGUAAUAGCUCACUGGUCGAGUCGGCCUGCGCGGAAGAUGUAACGGGGCUAAACCAUGCACCGAAGCUGCGGCAGCGACGCUUAGGCGUUGUUGGGUAGGGGAGCGUUCUGUAAGCCUGCGAAGGUGGCCUGUGAGGGCUGCUGGAGGUAUCAGAAGUGCGAAUGCUGACAUAAGUAACGAUAAAGCGGGUGAAAAGCCCGCUCGCCGGAAGACCAAGGGUUCCUGUCCAACGUUAAUCGGGGCAGGGUAAGUCGACCCCUAAGGCGAGGCUGAAAAGCGUAGUCGAUGGGAAACAGGUUAAUAUUCCUGUACUUGGUGUUAUUGCGAAGGGGGACGGAGAAGGCUAGACCGGCCGGGCGACGGUUGUCCCGGUUUAAGCGUGUAGGUGGGGUGACUUGGCAAAUCCGGUUACCUUUAACACUGAGGCGUGAUGACGAGGCACUACGGUGCUGAAGUGGUUAAUGCCCUGCUUCCAGGAAAAGCCUCUAAGCUCCAGAUAACACUGAAUCGUACCCCAAACCGACACAGGUGGUCAGGUAGAGAAUACCAAGGCGCUUGAGAGAACUCGGGUGAAGGAACUAGGCAAAAUGGUGCCGUAACUUCGGGAGAAGGCACGCUGGCACGUAGGUGAAGUCCCUCGCGGAUGGAGCCGAAGCCAGUCGAAGAUACCAGCUGGCUGCAACUGUUUAAUAAAAACACAGCACUCUGCAAACACGAAAGUGGACGUAUAGGGUGUGACGCCUGCCCGGUGCUGGAAGGUUAAUUGAUGGGGUCAGCCGCAAGGCGAAGCUCUUGAUCGAAGCCCCAGUAAACGGCGGCCGUAACUAUAACGGUCCUAAGGUAGCGAAAUUCCUUGUCGGGUAAGUUCCGACCUGCACGAAUGGCGUAAUGAUGGCCAGGCUGUCUCCACCCGAGACUCAGUGAAAUUGAACUCGCUGUGAAGAUGCAGUGUACCCGCGGCAAGACGGAAAGACCCCGUGAACCUUUACUAUAGCUUGACACUGAACAUUGAACCUUGAUGUGUAGGAUAGGUGGGAGGCUUUGAAGUGUGGACGCCAGUCUGCAUGGAGCCGACCUUGAAAUACCACCCUUUAAUGUUUGAUGUUCUAACCUGGUCCCGUGAUCCGGGAUAGGGACAGUGUCUGGUGGGUAGUUUGACUGGGGCGGUCUCCUCCCAAAGAGUAACGGAGGAGCACGAAGGUUAGCUAAUCCUGGUCGGACAUCAGGAGGUUAGUGCAAAGGCAUAAGCUAGCUUGACUGCGAGAGUGACGGCUCGAGCAGGUGCGAAAGCAGGUCUUAGUGAUCCGGUGGUUCUGAAUGGAAGGGCCAUCGCUCAACGGAUAAAAGGUACUCCGGGGAUAACAGGCUGAUACCGCCCAAGAGUUCAUAUCGACGGCGGUGUUUGGCACCUCGAUGUCGGCUCAUCACAUCCUGGGGCUGAAGUAGGUCCCAAGGGUAUGGCUGUUCGCCAUUUAAAGUGGUACGCGAGCUGGGUUUAGAACGUCGUGAGACAGUUCGGUCCCUAUCUGCCGUGGGCGUUGGAAGAUUGAGAGGGGCUGCUCCUAGUACGAGAGGACCGGAGUGGACGCACCGCUGGUGUUCGGGUUGUGAUGCCAAUUGCAUUGCCCGGUAGCUACGUGCGGAAAAGAUAAGCGCUGAAAGCAUCUAAGCGCGAAACUUGCCUCGAGAUGAGUCUUCCCUUGGACCUUGAGUCCACUAAAGGAACGUUUAAGACUAAGACGUUGAUAGGCUGGGUGUGUAAGCGUAGCGAUACGUUGAGCUAACCAGUACUAAUGAUCCGUGAGACUUAACCUUACAACACCGAAGGUGUUU
rnacentral:rRNA from 1 species